rnacentral:rRNA from 1 species
UACGGGGGGGGUAAGCGUUGUUCGGAAUUACUGGGCGUAAAGGGCUCGUAGGCGGCCAACUAAGUCGGACGUGAAAUCCCCCGGCUUAACCUGGGAACUGCGUCUGAUACUGGACGGCUUGAGUUUGGGAGAGGGAUGCAGAAUUCCAGGUGUAGCGGUGAAAUGCGUAGAUAUCUGGAGGAAUACCGGUGGCGAAGGCGGCAUCCUGGACCAACACUGACGCUGAUGCGCGAAAGCUAGGGGAGCAAACGGG